AUUGAACGCUGGCGGCGUGCCUAACACAUGCAAGUCGAGCGGCAGCGCGGGAGCAAUCCUGGCGGCGAGCGGCGAACGGGUGAGUAAUGCUUCGGAAUCUGCCCAUGUAGUGGGGAAUAACCAGCCGAAAGGUUGGCUAAUACCGCAUACGACCUACGGGUGAAAGCAGGGGAUCGCAAGACCUUGCGCUAUUGGAUGAGCCGAAGUCGGAUUAGCUAGNGGUAGGGUAACGGCCUACCAAGGCGACGAUCCGUAGCUGGUCUGAGAGGACGACCAGCCACACUGGGACUGAGACACGGCCCAGACUCCUACGGGAGGCAGCAGUGGGGAAUAUUGGACAAUGGGGGCAACCCUGAUCCAGCGACGCCGCGUGUGUGAAGAAGGCCUGC
rnacentral:rRNA from 1 species